CUAGAAUUUUUAGCGGCGGACGGGUGAGUAACACGUGGGCAACCUGCCCUACAGAUUGGGAUAACUCAGGGAAACCUGGGCUAAUACCGAAUAAUCCUUCGAAUCACAUGUUUUGAAGUUGAAAGGCGCUUCGGCGUCACUGUAGGAUGGGCCCGCGGUGCAUUAGCUAGUUGGUGGGGUAACGGCCUACCAAGGCAACGAUGCAUAGCCGACCUGAGAGGGUGAUCGGCCACAUUGGGACUGAGACACGGCCCAAACUCCUACGGGAGGCAGCAGUAGGGAAUCUUCCACAAUGGACGAAAGUCUGAUGGAGCAACGCCGCGUGAGUGAUGAAGGUUUUCGGAUCGUAAAACUCUGUUGUAAGGGAAGAACAAGUACGUUAGGAAAUGAACGUACCUUGACGGUACCUUAUUAGAAAGCCACGGCUAACUACGUGCCAGCAGCCGCGGUAAUACGUAGGUGGCAAGCGUUGUCCGGAUUUAUUGGGCGUAAAGCGCGCGCAGGUGGUUUCUUAAGUCUGAUGUGAAAGCCCACGGCUCAACCGUGGAGGGUCAUUGGAAACUGGGGAACUUGAGUGCAGAAGAGGAUAGUGGAAUUCCAAGUGUAGCGGUGAAAUGCGUAGAGAUUUGGAGGAACACCAGUGGCGAAGGCGACUGUCUGGUCUGUAACUGACACUGAGGCGCGAAAGCGUGGGGAGCAAACAGGAUUAGAUACCCUGGUAGUCCACGCCGUAAACGAUGAGUGCUAAGUGUUAGGGGGUUUCCGCCCCUUAUUG
rnacentral:rRNA from 1 species